UACGUAGGGGGCAAGCGUUGUCCGGAAUUAUUGGGCGUAAAGAGCUCGUAGGCGGUUUGUCGCGUCGGCCGUGAAAUCUCCACGCUUAACGUGGAGCGUGCGGUCGAUACGGGCAGACUUGAGUUCGGUAGGGGAGACUGGAAUUCCUGGUGUAGCGGUGAAAUGCGCAGAUAUCAGGAGGAACACCGGUGGCGAAGGCGGGUCUCUGGGCCGAUACUGACGCUGAGGAGCGAAAAGCGUGGGGGAGCGAACAGG
rnacentral:rRNA from 1 species